UACGUAGGGUGCAAGCGUUGUUCGGAAUCAUUGGGCGUAAAGAGCGUGUAGGCGGUUGGACAAGUCAGAUGUGAAAGCCCUGGGCUUAACUCAGGAAGUGCAUUUGAAACUGUUCAGCUGGAGUAAGGGAGAGGAAAGUGGAAUUCCUGGUGUAGAGGUGAAAUUCGUAGAUAUCAGGAGGAACACCGGUGGCGAAGGCGACUUUCUGGCCCUAUACUGACGCUGAGGCGCGAAAGCGUGGGUAGAAAACAGGAGGAGAUACCCCCGGAGUCC
rnacentral:rRNA from 1 species